rnacentral:tRNA from 1 species
AUCUUUCUAGUAUUAACUAGUAUAUGUGACUUCCAAUCACUCGGUCUUGGUUAAAGUCCAAGGAAAGAUA